GUCGCUCCUACCGAUUGAAUGUUCCGGUGAAUAAUUCGGACUGCAAUCAUGGGGUCUGUGCCACUGUGAUUGCGGGAAGUUUAGUGAACCUUAACAUUUAGAGGAAGGAG
rnacentral:rRNA from 1 species